CAGCCGCCGCGGGAAUACGUAGGUGGCAAGCGUUGUCCGGAAUUAUUGGGCGUAAAGGGCUCGCAGGCGGUUUCUUAAGCCUGAUGUGAAAGCCCCCGGCUCAACCGGGGAGGGUCAUUGGAAACUGGGAAACUUGAGUGCAGAAGAGGAGAGUGGAAUUCCACGUGAAGCGGUGAAAUGCGUAGAGAUGUGGAGGAACACCAGUGGCGAAGGCGACUCUCUGGUCUGUAACUGACGCUGAGGAGCGAAAGCGUGGGGAGCGAACAGGAUUAGAUACCCCAGUAGUCCCUGUCUCUUAUAC
rnacentral:rRNA from 1 species